CACAGCACAACAAAGGAAGCCAUAGAAGUGGGAGAUUCUGCCUCUGCAUAUUGCGUCAUUCUAACCCACUUCAGCCAAAGAUACCCAAAAAUCCCUGCAUUGGAUGAAAUAAACAUGAGGAAAACUUGCAUAGCUUUUGACCUCAUGAGUGUUAACAUAGCUGAUUUACCUGUGCUCCCUAAUAUUCUUCCAUACCUAAAAU
rnacentral:misc_RNA from 1 species